UACAGAGGGUGCGAGCGUUGUUCGGAAUUAUUGGGCGUAAAGGGCGCGUAGGCGGUGCGGUAAGUCACCUGUGAAAUCUCCUGGCUCAACUGGGAGCUUGCAGGCGAAACUGCCGUGCUGGAGUGUGGGAGAGGUGCGUGGAAUUCCUGGUGUAGCGGUGAAAUGCGUAGAUAUCUGGAGGAACACCUGUGGCGAAAGCGGCGCACUGGACCACAACUGACGCUGAGGCGCGAAAGCGUGGGGAGCAAACAGG
rnacentral:rRNA from 1 species